CCCUACGGGGGGCAGCAGUGAGGAAUAUUGGUCAAUGGGCGGGAGCCUGAACCAGCCAAGUCGCGUGAGGGAUGACGGCCCUACGGGUUGUAAACCUCUUUUGUCGGGGAGCAAGACCCGCCACGAGUGGCGGAGCGAGAGUACCCGAAGAAAAAGCAUCGGCUAACUCCGUGCCAGCAGCCGCGGUAAUACGGAGGUGGCGAGCGUUAUCCGGAAUGAUUGGGCGUAAAGGGUGCGCAGGCGGUCCUGCAAGUCUUGAGUGAAAC
rnacentral:rRNA from 1 species